ACUCACUCCUUACAUCCCUCUAACUAAGUUCCUGUCAAGGAGACACAGGUGAUGUGAACUGCUUUUGGAAUUUGUUCAUAGAAAGAAGUGGGCAUGCUCUCUCAUUGCUCUUUCCAACUGCUAGCUGGCUGGGAUGUGCCUACGUGAGAUGACAAGUCACUCGUUUGGGUGAUGGUGGGUUGACUAAGCAGUCACGGGUCACCACACGAAAGAAAAAUACAAGGAAAAACCCUUAUCUUCAGCUACUUAUUCUGUGUCUUUGUCAAAGCAGCUUAAACUGUACAUAGUACUGUUUCCUAACUGCUACACAGUAAGAGACUCUUGUUUAAAUAACUAUAUUUCCAGGUAUCAUAGUUAUAGCAACUUAGUUUAUUUCUUAACUAAUAGAGAUUGUAUUGCUACUAUUUAUUCAUGAUUAUUAUAGGGUUUAAAUGAAACAAUGUGGAAAAUCAGAACCUAGUAGUCUUUAUUAAUAAAUUGGAGUUUUGGUAAAAUGCAUUUUUAUUAUAUUAAUCGUUUAAUGUUAUGUAACAUGGUGUUAUUAUAAUUGAUUGGUAAGAUGGAUUUGGAUUAAUUUUAAACAUGUCAUUUGUUAACUACAGAAAAUAUAAUAACAUAUAUUUAAAUAUAUAUAAUGCAGUAUAUUAUGGACUUAAUAUAAAGGUAAUUAUUGUUAAAAGUCAGGCACCAAGCAUUUUCAGUACAGUAACAGUCUUCUGCCUUCAUCUCCCUCAGUGAAAUAAUAGUUGCCUCUAUCUUCUUCAUUUUCAAUUCAAUUUCAACUACUUUUUGUUUAAAUAUCCCUGAGAAUAAUGAAGCAUUAGAAGCACUUGAGUUGGAGAACUUAUGAGUGAGAGUUGUUCUUUUCUUUUAUUGAGGCAACAUCUUGCUGCGUGGCCAAUGCUGGCUUCAAACUCCUGAUCCUCUUGCCUUAGCUUUCCAAGUGCUGGGAUUAUAGAUAUGCAUGGGCUUUUGACAUUCAUUGGAUUUAGUUGGAAUGCUAUGCUGGUUUCCAAAAUAAAAGAAUGGGCACAUCUCACCAUACCACUGUCUGUGGGAACCCUCUCAGAUACAGGUCGCUUGUAUUUGAGAGUAUAGGAGAAAGCACACAGGGGCUUCAAGGAAAAUACAACACCAUUCCUAGAAAAUCAAAUGUGAACUUGAUAACCUCCUUGUAUAUUUGGAAGAAUAGUAUAUUUUCAUUAUCUCUUCAGGGCUUAUGAAGGGGGUGCACAAGGAGAGAGGCUCCAGUACCUCAGAGAAAACCUAUUCUUCAUUCUACAAGUGAACAUUUAUUAAGCACCCUCACCCCUCCCCACCCCACACAAAUGAAUGAGAUGUAUUUUCUAUCUACAAGGAGUUCACUGUCUAGCAGCCGCAGGGAAAUAUAUGUGUAUGUAUAAUUGCUCAAGAGAGUAGCCUUCAUGCCUAGCAGCUUCGUGACCUGGGGCAAUUUGCUUUACUAUUUGUGCCUUGGCUGCUUUGUAAGUCUUAUGGAGGUGAUGGUGAUGGUGAUGGUGAUGAUGAAGAUAAAGAUGAUGAUGAUACUGAUGAUGCCAAUGGCAGUGCCAAUGAUGGUGAUGACGAUGAUACGGAUGAUGACGAUCAUACUGAUGGUGAUGAUGACGACGAUGAUUAUGAUACUUCACAGGAUGGUUGCAACAUUAAAUAAGUUAAUACAGAUGGCUGCACUGAUGAGACCUCCAGUGGCCUGAGAGAUACCAAGCCGUGUCCCCUCACACAGGUGCCACUCACAGGACAGAGGAGUCUGGAUGUGAUGGGGGAGAGACAGAAACCAGCACUCGGUAUCUUCGCUGAGAAGUGGAGAGCAGUAUCUGGCUCCGAGUGUUGAACGGCUCAUUGCCUCUGCUGUUCCUGUCUUCCUUCAUGUUAAGAAAACAGAAGAUGCAGUCAAACUUUGAGUUAAUGGGUCUGCUCCAUUCAUUAUUUACCCAGGGUGGUGCUUUAUCACAGAGGCUCCUAAGUGUUUGACAAAGAAGGCAUCUCAUUAGCGCCUGGGAGGUUAUGGGUUGGCCAGAUGGUGGCUGUUUUCUUCUUUUCCUGGAGAGAGGCACAAGUGUCUCAGACUGUGUGGCAGCGGUUUCAGUUCUGAGGAUCCUAGCAAGCAAGUCACGUGCCUUCCUUCCUGAGUCCUGCCUUACACUUUGGUAAACGUAAAAAGCAAACACUUUCCAGUCUCUUGCUGGCAUGUAGGUGCUGCAGAGAUGGUGUUUAUGUGCGACAGAGUCCUACAGAAACAAGGGAAGAGUAGCUCCCAGGUGCAGCUAGUAUCCUUGACCUAGUAGCUAUUCUCAGCCCUGGGCAUACUGACAAAGGAGGUGGGGAGGGGUGACUCAUCACCUUUGAUUCUUAGCUAGUGGCAUAUGUAUGUAUGUAUGUAUGUAUGUAUGUAUGUAUGUAUAUAUGUAUAUAUGUAUGUAUAUAUGUAUGCAUGUAUAUGUGUACAUAUAUAUAUAUACACACAUACAUAUAUAUGUUAUUCAGUAUCAGAAAACUAGUUAAAUGUAGGUCUUUUAGGUCUUUCCCCUUCUAAGAACCAGGGGCAAAGAGAACCAUACCCUAAUUAAUUAAUACAGGAAUAGGAAAAGUUUUAUUAUGGUAUACAAUGAAUGAGGAGCUGGUUCACAUCUUUUAUGCUGAACAAAAUCUAGUAAUUCCAACGAUAACACUAAUCAUCACAGAGCAGCAAGGGCUGUUUACUUAGUACUUCUGCAUGUCUCUGUUGAACUUGAUGCUGGAUGAGCACCAGCUAGUUUAGUCACCAGGCCAGUCUUAAGAGGUUUUCAUGUAGCAUAAAUUAAGCACCCAGUCCACAUCAUUUUAGGCAGUUAGGAUGGGUCUGGGAACGAGACAGCAGUGGAUAACAGGCAGUUGUCGUAGUAAAUAAAUUAUAUAGAAUACUAGAACGUGAUAAGUGCCAGGAAAAAAGAAAGAAUAGGAAAAUAUUUGGGGUGAGCAAACGAUAAGUUAAGCAGUCAUGAAGGGGGUGGUAGCACAUCAGAGACUUUGAGGAGAUCAAGGAGGGAGAUGGAAGCAAAGGCAGAGCUAGUCAAAGGCCGAGAUGCGAGGUGGCAGAGCGCUAGAUGCUUUUGGGGAGCAGUUGGGUGGAAUGCUCUGUUGAGUGGACCAGGAGAUGAGAUGAGGGAGGCACUGGGGCAGGGGCGGGGGGAGAAUUACGGAGAGGGGAGCAACGGAAGGGUUUUGAGCAAAAGGAAAAGAUCUGGCUUACUCUGGCAGCCGUGGCGAAAUAAGCAGUGUAUUAUUCCUAUUGUAUGUUACAUCCUGGGUCGGGUUAUCGUUCCAAAGUAACAGCUAGUUAGCGGCAGAGUGAGACAGUCUCCUACGUAACUUUAGACCUCAUGGCUUUGAGUGCACUAUUGUCUCUGUGAUAUGAUCAAAACCACUCUUCCUGCAAACAGAUGAUUGUCCUACUUUCAACCUGCUUCUCCUGCGGCCGAUCUACCAUGCAGGGAUGGGGUAAGCUAGAGGUUUGAUCUCGUGCUAUCAGUGAAUCUCUUUGCCGGCUUGCUUAUUUGCAGACUGGUCUCACUGUGAGACCAAAUGCUUUGUGAUUCCAGCUUUGCUUUCCAUUGCCCCAUAAAGGAGCGGGGACACAGGGAAAACCCCAUUUCCCCUCUGGGCCCUUUUUGGGAUGGAGACUGAUGUCAGGCAUUGGGCACUCUCAACACCAUCUUCAAUGGCCUAGGGAGUUGAUGGCAGAGAGAUCAUGGCUACUCUGUGGGAAACAGGGCUCUAUUUCAUUUCUUCUCCCAGAGUUAACACUCCUCUCUCAGCGGGGGCUCCUUUAAUGAAUCAAUUAAGGAGGGUAUUAUUAUUGGAAGCUGUUUUCAGCCCAAUUAAGACCUUUUGGCAUGUCAGUAACGAUAAUAAAAGUGAGUUAAGUCUCAAUUUUUCUUUAUUAGGAUGUUUAUUAGAAGAUUGAAAUGUUCAUUAGGUGAAGAAAAGUGAUAACAUUCAUCUUUGCUCAUCAGAAGCACAAUGGAACCUCAGUUACACUCAGUGUUACUGUGGUUGUGUGUGUGUCUCUGAGUGUGUGUGUGCGUGUGUACAUGGGUGUGCAUGUGCAUCUGUGUCUGUGUGCGUGUACAUGCAUAUGUGUUUCUGGGUUUUAACUCUACUUUGGCUCCAUAGAAAAACAAUUUUGGAGUCAUAAUUAAUUAAUUAAUUAAUUAGGCUGAAGAAUUCAAUGUUGACCACGUCUCUUGCUUUGGAGUGAGAUGCAAGGCCAAUGUCCAAAUCAGGGAGGAGCCAAGUCUGGAAGGUUUGGGAGCACAGGGGCUUAUUUUAGACCAGUUUCGGAAAUUCGUAAUUUUGGACCAAAAAUAACAUGUAGAAAAGUAGAAGAAGGAAAUUAUUUAAACUUUAGCAUUUUCCUCAUAUUUAUCCCCCUUCUUUUAAAAACGGAGCCAUUCUGGAUUCAGCUGAGGCGUCUCAUGGAAGCCUUCCUGAUUUUAUUUCCUGGUCCUUCAUAUUCUCGUUUCCAAGGAUUUUUUAUGCUUACAAAUCUGGUAUUUAUCAUACCUUACAGGCUUUUUUGCCAUUGCCGUGCGGUUCUGGUGUGUGUUCCUUCAUAAGAAUGUGAAGCAUUGUUUUGCUUCCUUUCUGUCUUGACACAUAUAUGUGAGCUUAUUUUCCUUAUUGUAUAAUAGUUCUCUGAAUUUCUAUUGACCUCAAUUAAUUUAACUCAGCACUGUACUUCUGAACACGUUGCUAACUUUUAAAAUCAUAAAUCACACUGCAGUGUACAUUCUGAGCCAUGUAUCCCCAUGUAUGAAUGCAAAUGUUUCUCUAGACUCGAGUUAUCACGUCUUAAAACAAGGUGGAAAUGGAUUUUACAUAGCAUUUCUUGCAUAAGUCAUUCAUAUUCCCAAAUAAAAGUUUUAUGAAGUAAUGCUCCUGCUGUAUCCAUGGAGUGCUCUGAUGUAUAGUCUGGUGCCUAGUUAAUUCUGCUCUGUUUUAUGUUAUUCUGUCCUACUCUAUUCUUUACAUUCUGUCUUUUAAACAAUAUUUAUUUAUUUAUUUUUAUGUAUUUUGCCUGAGAGUAUGUAUAUACCUCAUGUAUAUGCAGUGCCCAUGCUGACCAGCAGGGGACAACAGAUCACUGGGAACUGGAGUUACAUAUCGUAAGCUGAUUUGGCUGUUGGGAGCUGAGCCUGGGUCAUUACUAAGAAUACUAUGUGCUUGUACCUGUUGAGCCAUCUCUCUAGCCUCCACCCAUCUUACCCUUUCUAUCUUACAGGUUUGACUUCAUACUCAUUUUUAACCCAAAGUAUUCUGGUUCUGGCUUACUGAAUUGAUUCUAUGAUUUAGAAAUGGAUUUCAGCAUGCAGUAAAAAACUGUUUUGUAGUAUGUGUAUUCAAAGUGAGAAUUUUGUUCAUUUAAACAUUUCCUAGAUAUUGAUGAUUUGCUGUCUUAAAUGGCUUCCUAUAUAAUUUUCUUGGGUUUUUGCUUUGAGCAGGUCUGUUGUAAACAAUAAUAGUUCAUUUAAAAAUACAUUCUAGUAUGAUAAUUCUUGUUUUAUUGACAAUUUUAUCUGACUAUCCACUGUGGUAUUUUAGACAUAUUUUAUGUUUUGAUCCUUCUUUUCUCCUCAAUUCCAUUGUCUUUUUCUCCUUUCUCUUUCUGUUGGUUGAUAAGUUCCUGUAUUUCCAUCUCCAAGCUCUUGCUUUCUCUCUGCUAGUUUGGUGAAUAAAGACUAUAUAGCUGUUCUUCCAUGGAUAGCCUAACCUGUCCUUUAAAAAUGUGCUUUUCAUUGAAAAUGUAGGUAAAAAACCUCAACUUGUUAAGCAGUAAUGGAUGCAAAAUAUUUACAACCCACUUUGCUCUUCUCUGAAUUUUAGCUUCACUCUUUUAAAACACAUGAAAUGUUAUCAAUUUUUAUGGUCUACAGUGUCACAUUUGUGUCUUGUAUUAUAAUGACCCUCUAAAUUCACUUUUCUUUUGUUGUUAACGUGUAUCCUCAUGUGGUUCUUGAUAGUGAAGACAUGGGUGAUAUGACAUAUUUUUGUAAUGGAAAAUUACCUCUUUUUG
rnacentral:lncRNA from 1 species